rnacentral:rRNA from 1 species
AACAAACGCUGGCGGCGUGCAUAACACAUGCAAGUCUAACGGCAAAGUCGGCUUCGGCUGGCAAGUACCGUGGCGAACGGGUGAGUAACACGUGUGUAAUCAAACCUCGAGCUUGGGAUAACCUUGCGAAAGCGGGACUAAUACCGAAUAAGACCACGCCUUGUCCGCAGGGUGCGGUAAAAGGUGGCCUCUUCCUGAAAGCUAUCACUUGAGGAUGAGCCCGCGGCCUAUUAGCUAGUUGGUAGGGUAACGGCCUACCAAGGCGACGAGGGGUAGCCGGCCUGAGAGGUUGCACGGCCAUACUGGCACUGAGACACGUGCCAGACUCCUACGGGAGGCAGCAGUGGGGAAUAUUGGACAAUGGGCGCAAGCCUGAUCCAGCCAUGCCGCGUGAGUGAUGAAGGCCUUAGGGUUGUAAAGCUCUUUCAGCAGGGACGAAGCGCAAGUGACGGUACCUGCAGAAGAAGCACCGGCCAACUACGUGCCAGCAGCCGCCGUAAAAC